rnacentral:lncRNA from 1 species
CAAAUUCCUCUCAUCUCUCUCUAUAACUCCCAAAUCACAUACAACAAAAUAUAACACAAACACUAUAGUAAAAUCAAUCAAUUUCUUUUUUCUUAUAACAAGAAUCAUUCCAUCCACAAAUUCUUGAAAAAAUUUACUCCCUAAAAAAUGUCCACCAACACUUUCAACUCCAUACACCAGCACUACCACCGCUCCCUGCGGCGGCGCCACUCCAUAGACUGCCCUCCCACCACCUUCUCCCUCCGCCCCAGAACCACCACCACCAGCCCCACCACCGCAACCUCCCUCUCCACCUCCUUCGCGGCCACCUCCGCCGCCACAAGCACCCCCACAACCAACCCCUCGACCUCUCACUCGACCUCCCUGGACCUCCUCCGCCACCACCUCGAGGCGAAGAACCUCCGGCAGGCCG